AGGUAGCAUAAUCACUUGUUCCUUAAAUAGGGACUAGUAGGAACGGCAUCACGAGGGCUUUACUGUCUCCUUUCUCCAAUCAGUGAAACUGAUCUCCCCGUGAAGAAGCGGGGAUACCAUUAUAAGACGAGAAGACCCCAUGGAGCUUUAAACCCAACGACACCCCUCAACCCCCACAACCCUUUAUAGUUGCUACAGCCCUGUUCGUUGGUUUUAGGUUGGGGUGACCGCGGAGCAUAAAUUACCCUCCACGACGAAUGGGACUACCCCCUUACCCAAGAGCUACUUCUCUAAGGAUCAAUAAAUUGACGUAAAGUGAUCCAAGUAUUUGAUCAACGGACCAAGUUACCCUGGGGAUAACAGCGCAAUCCAUUUCAAGAGCCCCUAUCGACAAAUGGGUUUACGACCUCGAUGUUGGAUCAGGGUAUCCAAGUGGUGCAGCCGCUACUAAUGGUUUGUUUGUUCAACAAUUAAAACCCUACGUGAUCUGAGUUCAGACCGGAUGAUCGAUCUGUUUAUCAAAAACAAAUACGUGAUCUGAGUUCAGACCGGGCGAUCUGGUCUCAACACCAAACACGUGUAUUUUUUUGAUACACAGAGCGAUCCGGUUCUAAAAAAAAAUAACGUAUAUUUUUUUUAAAAAAGGAGCGAC
rnacentral:rRNA from 1 species